ACUCUUUUUAAUAUUAAAAUAAUUUACUAUAUUUAAAGUGUUGGGCAACCAACUAUGGUAAUAAAUGUCAUAUUAUGAAAUGGAACGGACCCGGGGGCAGUACCCGGCGCCUCCACCACGAAAAAUAUGAAUCAUGGGGGCGAUAUAGGAUCGACGGCUAUGGAUAGAUAUGAAUUUUACCCGGUAUUGUACCACCGUUAUCGGGCUAUUUAUAAUUGCUAACGAUAAAUUAGCUAUCGCUGCCUAAGUAUUAGGAAAGCGCGGUCUGGGGCGCCGGGCAACAGAAGCCCCAUAUU
rnacentral:tmRNA from 1 species